AGCAUCUGGCAAUAUCCUCCUCCCCUGCUGCCACUCUGCGCCUCUGCUGCACCAAUCACCCCACGACCAAAGAGAAACCCUUCACCCGCAUGUGUGCCAGUGACCGCCGUUCUCUCCGCACCCAGAGAACUCCCUUACAGUGCCACUGAUGUUCGCUUGAGUUCUUUUGUCAUCCCAACCACUGAUGCCAACAAUCUAGGAGCUGUGUCAGACAUUUAGGUGCACUCUCUGAAGGAUAAGAUUUUUUUCCCAGUAAAAAAAAACCCUUAACGUUUUGUCAUAUUUGCUUGACCUCAGCAUUUCACUUACACUUUGCCGUACUGGGCUUUUUUUUUUACCAAAAUAAGAUGAAAUAAGAGGGAGAGAGAAAAAAUACCCCAUUCAAAAGUUUACAUACACUUGAAAUGUAAUACUGGAUGAGCCAGAGUGUUUUUUUUUUUUUGUCCUGAACAGUUAAACUGCCCGCUGUUCUUCUAUGAUUUUGAGAUCAAUCUUUUCACACUGAGGACAACUUUGGGUCUACACAACUAUUACUAUUACAAAACAGUCAUUGAUGCUCCAGAAGGACACACGAUGCAUUGAGAGUGUAAACCUUUGAACAGAAUGAAGAAAGAAUGAAAUAGAAUAAAGUUGACAUUUUUCUCAUAUUGCCUAAAUAUCAUAUUUUUUGUUUAGUACUGCUCUUCAGAAGCUACAGAAGAUACUUGCAUGUUUCCCAGAAGACUAAAUAAGUAAAAUUUACCCUGAUCUUCAGAUUCUAAAAGUUUUCACCCCCGGCUCUUAAGGCAUUGUGUUUUCUUCUGGAGCAUCAGUGAGCGUUUAAAUCUUCUGGAAUGGUUGCAUAUGAGUCCAUCAGUUGUCCUCAGUGUGAAAAGAUGGAUCUCAAAUUCAUACAGUCAUUGUUGGAAAGGGUUCAAAUAUGCAAAUGUUGCUGGAAAACCAAAGAAUUUGUGGGACUGGAAGUAUUUUUCUGAAGAACAGUUUAACUGUUCAGGACAAACAAGGGACUCAUGAACAACUAUCACUAAGGAAAGAAUACACAGCCUGUGGAUCAUUCAGGAAACAACACAAUAUUAAGAAUCUAAAUUUUGAAUGGGGUCAUUUUUAUAAAUAAACUAUUAUUUUCUCUUGUGGAAUAUAUACACGUCUUUUAUUCAGGUCAGUAAUAAAUAAAAAAUAACAUGCAUUUUGUAUGAUCCCUCUUAUUUAAAAAAAAAAUAAUCUGCAAAAUGUAUGUAAAAUUUUGACCACAAUUGUACAUAGACUGUAAAUAGAGAAGCAAAUGUGCACUGUUGUUCCACUGUUGCCUUGUACAAAUAGAAAUAAAAUCAUUUUUAAAACCA